GUCCAUACUUUGGAAUAAAAAGGAUUCGAGACCUGAUUGAGCACCUGAAGAGUGGAGAGAGGCUAACAAGUCCACCAGCCUGUCCUGCUAAUGUGUACAAAAUAAUGGUAUCCUGCUGGAGAUUGGUCCCUGAUAAAAGGCCUGGCUUUGAUGAUCUGCACAAUGAGCUGAUGAAAAUUCAAGAGACAAUUUCCCAGGAUGUUGGAGGAACAAUAAAUCCUACUUACGAAGAUGAUGGUGAAUAUGUGGAUGUGCUGCCCCAUGAGUAUGAGCAGUAGAGCUUUGAGAUAAUAUUCCUCUCAAAAUGAUAGCUAUUGGGGAAAGUAUAGUGAAAAAGCAGGAAACAUUGGUUUCUGAAGAUGCACAGGCCAAUAGGCACAGUAAUUUGAUGUUUGUGUAGAAUAAAAGGAAAAUAAAAUGAUGUACUAAGAAUAUAAAAUGUAUAUGACUGUGUAGUCUGCAUAGUGAAAAAGUGGCAAACAAGGCUUUUACUUCCUUACUAUCCGACACUGGUUUUGUUGACUCCAUUUGCUUUGCAACAAGAAUUCACUACAGUUGUAUAAAAGUAGGAGUAUGACUAUGUAAUGUAUGUAUAAAAGUAUGCCUUUGAUGAAAUAUUUCAUUUACAAUACAUGUAUACAGUUUGGACUUCAUAAUCUUUAUCUAUUUGUUGACUUCUACAAAGUAAUGUUUGAGAGUUUCCUUGUUUAAGACUAAACAUACAAGUAUGUAUCAUACAAUUGUAGCAUCUUUUGGCACAUAAAUUCAUUGCAUGUGCAUAUACCUGCAUGUAUAUUUCAUUGUAUUAUCACUGGAUUAUAUAUAUUUUUCCUUAAUAUGUACAACAAAGGAAUCUUCUUGAAAGAUAAUCAGUAAUUUUGAGUGACCAAAGCUAUUGUUGAUAUCAAGGUUACUGUACUACUUUGUAUCUUAAUUUGAACUAUUUUUUUUGCGCCAUAUUAUGGUCUUAUAGGGUGUGGUUAAUUGGUUUUAGGGAACAGAGAAUUGAAGGAUUUGAAAUACUGGUAAAGCUUAGAGUGCUAUGAGCUAGUUGUCUCUAAUACUAUGUGUGUGUGUAUGAGAAUACUGUGUCAAUUAUUGUCACAGAUAAACCUUCAUACAAUAGUACUGUAAAAAAUGUUUGAAAUUCUACAUAAUAAAUGAUGA